rnacentral:rRNA from 1 species
UGAACGCUGGCGGCGUGCUUAACACAUGCAAGUCGAACGGAAAGGCCUCUGCUUGCAGGGGUACUCGAGUGGCGAACGGGUGAGUAACACGUGGGUGAUCUGCCCUGCACUUCGGGAUAAGCCUGGGAAACUGGGUCUAAUACCGGAUAGGACAAUGGUUUGGAUGCUGUUGUGGAAAGUUUUUCGGUGUGGGAUGAGCUCGCGGCCUAUCAGCUUGUUGGUGGGGUAAUGGCCUACCAAGGCGUCGACGGGUAGCCGGCCUGAGAGGGUGUACGGCCACAUUGGGACUGAGAUACGGCCCAGACUCCUACGGGAGGCAGCAGUGGGGAAUAUUGCACAAUGGGCGCAAGCCUGAUGCAGCGACGCCGCGUGGGGGAUGACGGCCUUCGGGUUGUAAACUCCUUUCGCUAGGGACGAAGCGUUUUUGUGACGGUACCUGGAGAAGAAGCACCGGCUAACUACGUG